rnacentral:lncRNA from 1 species
AUUGGUGUGACAGCUCUACAUCUUGCUGCACACGAAGGACAUCCAAUAAUAUUGCAACUUCUUUUAGAUGCAGGUGCACAGCUCAUAAAAAGAAAGAAUGGCAACACUCCUCUGCAUGACUGUUUCAGGGAUCCCAAGCGAACAUAUUCACAGCAUUUCGAAGUUAGCAAUGUUCUAUUGAACAAAGACAGAAACUUGUCGUUUCUUAAAAACAAUUUUGGUGAAACUGCUGCCGACAUCUACCAAAACCAUGAAUGUAGAGAAUAUUCAGAUUACCAUAGAUCUGCUGCAGAAAGGGAAAGAUUACUUUACAUACUGAAAGGU